rnacentral:tRNA from 1 species
GUCAGUUUGGCCGAGUGGUCUAAGGCGCCAGACUCAAGUUCUGGUGCAGAAAUCCGCGUGGGUUCGAACCCCACAGCUGACA